rnacentral:rRNA from 1 species
AGAGUUUGAUCAUGGCUCAGAUUGAACGCUGGCGGCAGGCCUAACACAUGCAAGUCGAGCGGUAGAGAGAAGCUUGCUUCUCUUGAGAGCGGCGGACGGGUGAGUAAUGCCUAGGAAUCUGCCUGGUAGUGGGGGAUAACGUUCGGAAACGGACGCUAAUACCGCAUACGUCCUACGGGAGAAAGCAGGGGACCUUCGGGCCUUGCGCUAUCAGAUGAGCCUAGGUCGGAUUAGCUAGUUGGUGGGGUAAUGGCUCACCAAGGCGACGAUCCGUAACUGGUCUGAGAGGAUGAUCAGUCACACUGGAACUGAGACACGGUCCAGACUCCUACGGGAGGCAGCAGUGGGGAAUAUUGGACAAUGGGCGAAAGCCUGAUCCAGCCAUGCCGCGUGUGUGAAGAAGGUCUUCGGAUUGUAAAGCACUUUAAGUUGGGAGGAAGGGUUGUAGAUUAAUACUCUGCAAUUUUGACGUUACCGACAGAAUAAGCACCGGCUAACUCUGUGCCAGCAGCCGCGGUAAUACAGAGGGUGCAAGCGUUAAUCGGAAUUACUGGGCGUAAAGCGCGCGUAGGUGGUUUGUUAAGUUGGAUGUGAAAUCCCCGGGCUCAACCUGGGAACUGCAUUCAAAACUGACUGACUAGAGUAUGGUAGAGGGUGGUGGAAUUUCCUGUGUAGCGGUGAAAUGCGUAGAUAUAGGAAGGAACACCAGUGGCGAAGGCGACCACCUGGACUAAUACUGACACUGAGGUGCGAAAGCGUGGGGAGCAAACAGGAUUAGAUACCCUGGUAGUCCACGCCGUAAACGAUGUCAACUAGCCGUUGGAAGCCUUGAGCUUUUAGUG